GGAAGUUCCGCCGGAGUUACCGGAGCCGGUGUUAGGUAUCAAUUUUGCUAGGGAUGGGAUGGAGCGUAGAGACUGGUUGUCUUUGGUUGCUAUGCACACAGAUUCGUGGCUGCUCUCUGUCGCUUUCUACUUUGGUGCUCGCUUAAACAGAAAUGAAAGGAGUCGUGUGUUUACCCUGAUAAAUGAUCUACCAACUGUCUUUGAAGUCGUGUGUUUACCCUGAUAAAUGAUCUACCAACUGUCUUUGAAGCCGUGACAGGGAGGAAGCCUUUAAAGGACAAACCUAGUGUUGAUAGUGGAAAGAAAUCAAAGAACAAUGCAAAGAGAGAAAAACAAAUGAAAGCAAAUCAAAGGCUGCAAGAGGAGAGUGAUGAUGAGGAUGAAGGGAAUGAAGAUGAGCAUGAAGAAACUCUAUGUGGAAGUUGUGGAACAAAUGGCAAUGAGGAUGAGUUCUGGAUUGGCUGUGAUAUAUGUGAAAAGUGGUAUCAUGGCAAGUGUGUGAAAAUAACUCCUGCAAAGGCUCAAAGUAUCAAGGAAUACAGAUGUCCUUCAUGCAGCAAUAAAAGGGCAAAACAUAUGGCUUGAGUUAAUAGCUUUAGGAAGAGUUGAGUUCAUGUUAGCAUAACCUGAAGAUUCCUUAAAUCUGCAGAUGAACCCCCUGACCUGCACAACUCCCAUUCUGCAGCCCCUUACUCUGUCUUUAAUUUAUACUUUUGUUUCUUUUCUCAGAAGUUAUUUCUGUUUGUCGUUAGUUUACAGAUGUAGCUUUAUAUCAGGAGGGAUAAAAUCAAGUUCCUUGUAACUGUUGGCAUGUUCAGUUCCUUUUCGUAUAACUCUAUUAAAA
rnacentral:misc_RNA from 1 species